UCAUUUUCAUUUUCACUGCAGCUUCUUCAAUAACAAUAAUCAUGGCUGAGUGAGGAGGAGACCGCAACGGCUUUGGCAGAGGCUUCGGUGGUAGAGAUCGUGGUGGCGAUUGUAGAUGUGGACGCCGUCAUGUUGGCCGCCAUGACGAAGAGGACUGUUCUUCUAUUGGCAUUGUGUAGUUUUUCGCUUGAACAUGGUGAGUUUUUGCUUAGACAUGAUCCGAAAAACGACGCGGUGGAAGAACAAGUGGAAAUUUGGACGGAUUUUGAUUUUCUUUCUGAGUUUGGAUCUUCAAAGACGGUGGUUGAUAAUACAGAGUUUUCGGUCUUCUUUGGUGUUCCUGCAGUGAAGAUUGAAUUUAGAAAACUUGAGAGACUUCCUCAUGGUGAAAUCGGUUGCAUCACCUUCUUUAAAUUACUGUAAAUCUUUAUAAUCCAUGACAUGACAAGUUUCGACUGCGAGGACUUGCAAUUGUAUAUUUGUAUAUAUUUUUUGCUUCAGCAAAGGCAGCGUGACAUUGAGUUUAGGAAAUAUGCUAAUGAACAGAGAUAGAGGUAUCUCUUAUGUUUCAGACUUCAGGGUGUAUUCUGAGAGGUUCAUGGUUCAACUAUUGUAAAUUUGUAUGAUUUGGUACUGGCCUUCUAAACUUGUACAGGCAUAAACACCUAGUGGCUAACAUUGUAUUACAGACUUUGGCAAGCCAGUUGAUGUAGAUAACAUUUUAAAGAUUUGUAGAUGUUAUAUUGCAGUUUGAACCUAUUAAGUUUUUACUAUUCUCGUGUGCAAAACUUAUAUAAGUGCCUCAAUUUAUUACUUCAUAUCAUGCUAACUCAUAUCCUAACUAGCUACGUUCUUUCAACUUAUGCUCUAUCUUUUCUGAAGGAUAAAGGAAUACUUGUGUGAUUGUUAACUUGUUAAUAUGUUUUUCUAGGGUUGUGACUUUAGCAAUAUUUUUCUUCUCUCAGCCUUAUACUCCCUCAACAAUCAUCUGCACGAUGAGGUUCACAAGAAAAGUUAUGUGUGGUAACAAAUCCUUUGCUUUAUUAAUUAGUAAUCAAAUGUGAAUAUUUCUACUAUCAAGUAGGUCAUAACUUUGUUACUUAUCAAUUCAACCAUCUUUAUGUCUCUCAUAGAGAGCUAUCACUAAACAAAUGACUGCAAUAGAAGAAAUGGCUGCAAGUGAGUACAAUUAGCCAGACCCUCAUCUUUGUGACAAGAUCUUGAAGUUGGUCAUUUGUGGAGCAUUCUAGUUUGUUAUUGGUUGCAGUUUUAAUUAUUGCUCUCUCAAUAUAUAUAUAUAUAUAUAUAUAUUUGC